GCACCUGAUCAGCAUGCCGCGUGAGUGAAGAAGGCCUUCGGGUUGUAAAGCUCUUUUGUCAGGGAAGAAACACCGGCUCUAACACAGUCCGGGAAUGACGGUACCUGAAGAAUAAGCACCGGCUAACUACGUGCCAGCAGCCGCGGUAAUACGUAGGGUGCGAGCGUUAAUCGGAAUUACUGGGCGUAAAGCGUGCGCAGGCGGUUAUACAAGACAGGCGUGAAAUCCCCGGGCUUAACCUGGGAAUGGCGCCUGUGACUGUAUAGCUAGAGUGUGUCAGAGGGGGGUAGAAUUCCACGUGUAGCAGUGAAAUGCGUAGAUAUGUGGAGGAAUACCAAUGGCGAGGGCAGCCCCCUGGGAUAACACUGACGCUCAUGCACGAAAGCGUGGGGAGCAAACAGGAUUAGAUACCCUGGUAGUCCACGCCCUAAACGAUGCUGACUAGUUGUUCGGGAUUUACAUCCUGAGUAACGUAGCUAACGCGUGAAGUCAGCCGCCUGGGGAGUACGGUCGCAAGAUUAAAACUCAAAGGAAUUGACGGGGACCCGCACAAGCGGUGGAUGAU
rnacentral:rRNA from 1 species